CCUUCCAUAAGGAAUCUACCACAGUCACCAUCUCAGAUACAUGAAGCAGAGAGUGAUACAGCAGCCACUGACCCCCAGUCCUACAUAGAACAACUCAAGCAAAUCUUACGUGAACAGGGGAGGCAAGUCAAGGAAAAGGUUGACAAAAUA